rnacentral:tRNA from 1 species
UCCCUGGUGGUCCAGUGUUUAGGACUUGGCACUUUUCACUACCAGGGCCCAGGUUCAAUCCCUGGUCAGGGAA